rnacentral:rRNA from 1 species
UACAGAGGGUGCAAGCGUUGUUCGGAAUUAUUGGGCGUAAAGGGCAGGUAGGUGGUCUUAUUUGUCUAGGGUGAAAUCCCAGGGCUUAACCCUGGAAGUGCCUUAGAAACGGUAGGACUAGAGUUCUAGAGAGGGUCGUGGAAUUCCCGGUGUAGCGGUGAAAUGCGCAGAUAUCAGGAAGAACACCCGUGGCGAAAGCGGCUCUCUGGAACGGUACUGACGCUGAGACGCGAAAGCGUGGGGAGCGAACAGG